UACGUAGGUGGCAAGCGUUGUCCGGAUUUAUUGGGUUUAAAGGGUGCGUAGGCGGUGACUUAAGUCAGUGGUGAAAUACUUCAGCUUAACUGGAGAGGUGCCAUUGAUACUGGGACACUUGAGUACUGAUGAGGUAGGCGGAAUGGACGGUGUAGCGGUGAAAUGCUUAGAUAUCGUCCAGAACACCGAUAGCGAAGGCAGCUUACUAAGGAGUAACUGACGCUGAGGCACGAAAGUGUGGGGAUCAAACAGGG
rnacentral:rRNA from 1 species